rnacentral:rRNA from 1 species
GACGAACGCUGGCGGCGUGCCUAAUACAUGCCAGUCGAACGAACCGCGACUAGGUGCUUGCACUUGGUCAAGGUGAGUGGCGAACGGGUGAGUAACACGUGGGUAACCUACCUCAUAGUGGGGGAUAACAGUCGGAAACGACUGCUAAUACCGCAUAGGACAUAGGAUCACAUGAUCCAGUGAGGAAAGGUGGCGCAAGCUAUCGCUAAGAGAUGGACCCGCGGUGCAUUAGCUAGUUGGUAGGGUAAAGGCCUACCAAGGCGAUGAUGCAUAGCCGACCUGAGAGGGUGACCGGCCACAUUGGGACUGAGACACGGCCCAAACUCCUACGGGAGGCAGCAGUAGGGAAUCUUCCGCAAUGGACGCAAGUCUGACGGAGCAACGCCGCGUGAGUGAAGAAGGUCUUCGGAUCGUAAAGCUCUGUUGUUAGAGAAGAACAGCGCAUAGAGUAACUGUUAUGCGUGUGACGGUAUCUAACCAGAAAGCCACGGCUAACUACGUG